UGACCUCAAAUCAGGUAGGACUACCCGCUGAACUUA
rnacentral:rRNA from 15 species